rnacentral:rRNA from 1 species
ACGAACGCUGGCGGCGUGCUUCACAUAUGCAAGUCGAACGGAAAGGCCCUGCUUUUGUGGGGUGCUCGAGUGGCGAACGGGUGAGUAACACGUGAGUAACCUGCCCUUGACUUUGGGAUAACUUCAGGAAACUGGGGCUAAUACCGGAUAGGAGCUCCUGCUGCAUGGUGGGGGUUGGAAAGUUUCGGCGGUUGGGGAUGGACUCGCGGCUUAUCAGCUUGUUGGUGGGGUAGUGGCUUACCAAGGCUUUGACGGGUAGCCGGCCUGAGAGGGUGACCGGCCACAUUGGGACUGAGAUACGGCCCAGACUCCUACGGGAGGCAGCAGUGGGGAAUAUUGCACAAUGGGCGGAAGCCUGAUGCAGCAACGCCGCGUGCGGGAUGACGGCCUUCGGGUUGUAAACCGCUUUCGCCUGUGACGAAGCGUGAGUGACGGUAAUGGGUAAAGAAGCACCGGCUAACUACGUG